UUCUUUUCAGCACGAUAUCAUUCUGCAGCAGACGUGGUCCACUCUAUCAUUAACGUGUUUGUGUUUCCCACGUAUACGCUUACGACACGACUUCAAUUAACAAAGGACAAAAGAAUACCACUCGAGAAUUACACACAUCUCCCGUAUUCACAACCUGAAACUAUUUUUAUGCGAGAGGUGUCUAUAAACGGAAGUCGUGCGACUGUAAGAGCGGCGGGUCGUGUUCUUCCAGGAGACUGAGGCAUGAGAGGUUAUACAGUUGUUAUGUACGGACUUACGCAGCCCGGCAAGAUGAACUUCCCUUCCUGUUCUCAAUUUCAGUGCCAUUCAGAGUUGUUUCGUGUAUAUACUGCAUAAUAUUUUUUGGGGAUAUUUUCCAUUUUUUUUUUUUUUUUUUUUUUUUUUUUUUUUGUGUGGGGAGGAAGGUGUUGUUUUGUUUUCGUGGAGCUGUAGAAAAACAAGAGGACGCGCACGCAGCAAGGCCUCUCGGUCGUGUUCGUAGUGAAAACGUGCACCAGCAUAACUGCUGGUAACCCUUUUUCCUCCUCUUCUUCCUCCUCCUUAUAUUUCCCUUUGCCUCUUCCCGGUCUGUCCCUCAUUUUUCGAAUUAUUGAUCACCUCGCUCACACCUGGAAGACUGGAAAAAGCAAGGGCUAAAGGCGAGAGGAUGCUUUGGACUGGAAUAAAGAACAAGUAUAUUUGAUUCAAGCCUCAUAGUAUAAGGCUGAGGGAAGUGCAAUGACACCCAUGCACGUCCGACGCCAGGCCGGAAUUAUAUAGCGCACGUCAGCCACAGGGUCAUCCAUCAGUAUUUCUUUUUUAAUUUUUUCAUUUUUUGUUUUUUUGUCUUUUCUCCUUUCAGAGACGAAAAAAAUUCGGUUCGUGUUGCUUCAUUUAGUGGAUCUUUCAUGUAUAUUUUGUAUUCGUUGACCGUGAUAAAUUUAUCUUAUACAUAUAUACGUAUAAAGCAUCAAUUGAAAUAUUUACUGCUUCCGCUGUCUGGAAGUGACCGAAGAAAAAGAGCCAUGCAUCACACCACGCGCUUCACGCAGUUUAAAUCCUUCGAAAAGUGAACGCCGAAAUGGCUAGCCGAUUGCAAUCUAUUGAUGCUACACAUUUAAAUAACAGUCGUUGCCCCCUCCCGCUCUUGAAGCGGUGCCGUUUUCCAGUAGGAUGGUUUUGAUGCAUUAACGACUGUAGCUGUUGUGAGGUCGCAACCUCGCUUAUUUCUCUCUCUCUCUGACUCUUUCCUCCAAUGCAAUGUCUCAAAGUUGUGAUUUGCGCAAGUGUUGACUGUUGACUUUUGAGCUCGUCGUCGUCUUGAUCCAGCGAUGUCGCUAUUGAUCCGUUCGGCUUCGU